GAAAUGCGAUAAGUAAUGUGAAUUGCAGAAUUCAGUGAAUCAUCGAAUCUUUGAACGCACAUUGCGCCCGCCAGUAUUAUGGCGGGCAAGCCUGUUCGAGCGUCAUUACAACCCUCAGGCCCCCGGGCCUGGCGUUGGGGAUCGGCGGAAGCCCCCUGCGGGCACAACGCCGUCCCCCAAAUACAGUGGCGGUCCCGCCGCAGCUUCCAUUGCGUAGUAGCUAACACCUCGCAACUGGAGAGCGGCGCGGCCACGCCGUAAAACACCCAACUUCUGAAUGUUGACCUCGAAUCAGGUAGGAAUACCCGCUGAACUUAAGC
rnacentral:misc_RNA from 1 species